rnacentral:rRNA from 6 species
AAACGACUCUCGGCAACGGAUAUCUCGGCUCUUGCAUCGAUGAAGAACGUAGCGAAAUGCGAUACUUGGUGUGAAUUGCAGAAUCCCGUGAACCAUCGAGUCUUUGAACGCAAGUUGCGCCCGAAGCCAUUAGGCCGAGGGCACGCCUGCCUGGGUGUCACAC